UAUAGCAUUAUACCGCGAAACUGCGAAUGGCUCAUUAAAUCAGUUAUCGUUUAUUUGAUAGUACCUUACUACAAGGAUAACCGUGGUAAUUCUAGAGCUAAUACUUGCUAAAAAUCCCGACUUCGGAAGGGAUGUAUUUAUUAGAUUAAAAACCAAUGCCCUUCGGGGCUCUUUGGUGAUUCAUAAUAACUUCUCGAAUCGCAUGGCCUUGCGCCGGCGAUGGUUCAUUCAAAUUUCUGCCCUAUCAACUUUCGACGGCUGGGUCUUGGCCAGCCGUGGUUACAACGGGUAACGGAGGGUUAGGGCUCGACCCCGGAGAAGGAGCCUGAGAAACGGCUACUACAUCCAAGGAAGGCAGCAGGCGCGCAAAUUACCCAAUCCCGAUUCGGGGAGGUAGUGACAAUAAAUACUGAUACAGGGCUCUUUUGGGUCUUGUAAUUGGAAUGAGUACAAUUUAAAUCCCUUAACGAGGAACAAUUGGAGGGCAAGUCUGGUGCCAGCAGCCGCGGUAAUUCCAGCUCCAAUAGCGUAUAUUAAAGUUGUUGCGGUUAAAAAGCUCGUAGUUGAACCUUGGGCCUGGUCGGCCGGUCUGCCUCACCGCAUGCACUGGUCCGGCCGGGUCUUUCACUCUGGGGAGCCUCAUGCCCUUCACUGGGCGUGCUGGGGAACCAGGACUUUUACUUUGAAAAAAUUAGAGUGUUCAAAGCAGGCCUAUGCUCGAAUAUAUUAGCAUGGAAUAAUAGAAUAGGACGUUGCGGUUCUAUUUUGUUGGUUUCUAGGACCGCCGUAAUGAUUAAUAGGGACAGUCGGGGGCAUCAGUAUUCAAUUGUCAGAGGUGAAAUUCUUGGAUUUAUUGAAGACUAACUACUGCGAAAGCAUUUGCCAAGGGAUGUUUUCAUUAAUCAGGAACGAAAGUUAGGGGAUCGAAGACGAUCAGAUACCGUCGUAGUCUUAACCAUAAACUAUGCCAACUAGGGAUCGGACGAUGUUAUUUUUUGACUCGUUCGGCACCUUACACGAAAGUACAAGUUU
rnacentral:rRNA from 1 species